rnacentral:rRNA from 1 species
UACGUAGGGGGCAAGCGUUGUCCGGAAUCAUUGGGCGUAAAGAGCGUGUAGGCGGCCAGAUAAGUCCGCUGUGAAAUCUCGAGGCUCAACUUCGAGCUGUCGGUGGAAACUGUCUGGCUAGAGUCCGGAAGAGGAGAAUGGAAUUCCUGGUGUAGCGGUGAAAUGCGCAGAUAUCAGGAAGAACACCAGUGGCGAAGGCGGCUCACUGGCCCGGUACUGACGCUGAGGUGCGAAAGCGUGGGGAGCAAGCAGG